rnacentral:lncRNA from 1 species
AAAAUCAUAUGACAGUUUAAUCUCAACUGCCUAUCAAAAACUGGAACAUGAUAUAUCUAUGCUACUCUAAUUUCAGCAUUUAUACAAUGAAAUGCUGAAUAUAUGAACUAAGCCUAGGGGGAGCUUGAACAUUACAGAUAUAGGCUAUACUACUUAGGAGUUUAUCACAAUUACAAUAGAUGUUUUAAAAAAUUCUCGCAUUUCUUUCUAACCAUACACUAUACAGCAUUUCUGUAAUAGUCAUCUUGAAGGAGAGAGCUCGGACAGAUUUCCCUUUGGACUGCAUAAUGAUCCAUUGACAGAAUUGUAUCCAAUCUUGUCCAGUAAAGUCAUCAGUUCUCAGCCAUUGCAUUGUUUGAUAUCUCAACUGGGAAGCAAAGGAGCAAUGCAAAAAUAAGUGAUCUCUAGUCUCCAAU